CGAACGGGUGAGUAACACGUGAGUAACCUGCCCGCAACUUUGGGAUGACGCUAGGAAACUGGUGCUAAUACUGGAUAUGUGCUCCUGCUGCAUGGUGGGGGUUGGAAAGCUCCGGCGGUUGUGGAUGGACUCGCGGCCUAUCAGCUUGUUGGUGGGGUAGUGGCCUACCAAGGCGGCGACGGGUAGCCGGCCUGAGAGGGUGACCGGCCACAUUGGGACUGAGAUACGGCCCAG
rnacentral:rRNA from 1 species